UACGGGGGGGGUAAGCGUUGUUCGGAAUUACUGGGCGUAAAGGGCGCGUAGGCGGCCUGUUAAGUCGGACGUGAAAUCCCUCGGCUCAACCGGGGAACUGCGUCCGAUACUGGCGGGCUUGAAUUCGGGAGAGGGAUGUGGAAUUCCAGGUGUAGCGGUGAAAUGCGUAGAUAUCACUUGGAACGCCAAUGGUGAAGACAGCUCGCUGGGGGUGUCCUGACGCUGAGGCGCGAAAGCCAGGGGAGCGAACGGG
rnacentral:rRNA from 1 species